UGGGGAAUUUUGGACAAUGGGCGCAAGCCUGAUCCAGCAAUGCCGCGUGUGUGAAGAAGGCCUUCGGGUUGUAAAGCACUUUUGUCCGGAAAGAAAUGGCGCUGGUUAAUACCUGGGGUCGAUGACGGUACCGGAAGAAGAAGGACCGGCUAACUACGUGCCAGCAGCCGCGGUAAUACGUAGGGUCCAAGCGUUAAUCGGAAUUACUGGGCGUAAAGCGUGCGCAGGCGGUUGUGCAAGACCGAUGUGAAAUCCCCGAGCUUAACUUGGGAAUUGCAUUGGUGACUGCACGGCUAGAGUGUGUCAGAGGGGGGUAGAAUUCCACGUGUAGCAGUGAAAUGCGUAGAGAUGUGGAGGAAUACCGAUGGCGAAGGCAGCCCCCUGGGAUAACACUGACGCUCAUGCACGAAAGCGUGGGGAGCAAACAGG
rnacentral:rRNA from 1 species